rnacentral:rRNA from 1 species
UGCAAGUCAAGGGGGCCCGGGGCGCAAGCCAAAGGGCAACCGGCGAACGGGUGCGUAACACGUGAGCAACCUACCCAGGUGUGGGGGAUAGCCGUCCCAACGGACGGGUAAUACCGCAUACGCUCAACACGAGGCAUUUCGAGUUGAGGAAACCUUCGGGGCACCAUGAGGGGCUCGCGGCCUAUCAGCUAGUUGGCGAGGUAACGGCUCACCAAGGCUACGACGGGUAGCUGGUCUGAGAGGAUGGCCAGCCACAUUGGGACUGAGAAACGGCCCAGACUCCUACGGGAGGCAGCAGUGGGGAAUCUUGCGCAAUGGCCUAACGGCUGACGCAGCGACGCCGCGUGAGGGAUGACGCUCUUCGGAGUGUAAACCUCUUUUGCCUGGAACGAAUUGCCACCAUCAGGUGGCUUGACGGUACCGGAUGAAUAAGCACCGGCUAACUCCGUGCCAGCAGCCGCGGUAAUACGGGGGGUGCGAGCGUUGUCUGGAAUCACUGGGCGUAAAGGGCGCGUAGGUGGCGUGAUAAGGGUGUGGUGAAAGCCCGGGGCUCAACCCCGGGUCUGCCAUGCCGACUGUCAGGCUCGAGUACUGUAGGGGCAGGCGGAAUUCCGGGUGUAGCGGUGGAAUGCGUAGAGAUCCGGAGGAAGACCGGUGGCGAAGGCGGCCUGCUGGGCAGUUACUGACACUGAGGCGCGACAGCGUGGGGAGCAAACAGGAUUAGAUACCCUGGUAGUCCACGCCGUAAACGAUGGGUACUAGGUGCCUGGGGGAGCGACCCCUUGGGUGCCGGCGCUAACGCA